CCUACGGGAGGCAGCAGUAGGGAAUUUUCGUCAAUGGGGGGAACCCUGAACGAGCAAUGCCGCGUGAGUGAAGAAGGUCUUCGGAUUGUAAAGUUCUUUUCUAAGGGAAGAAGAAAGUGACGGUACCUUAGGAAUAAGCCUCGGCUAACUACGUGCCAGCAGCCGCGGUAAUACGUAGGAGGCAAGCGUUAUCCGGAAUGACUGGGCGUAAAGGGUGCGUAGGUGGUUUGACAAGUUGGUAGCGUAACUCCGGGGCUCAACCUCGGCACUACUACCAAAACUGUCGGACUUGAGUGCAGGGGGGGCAAAUGGAAUUCCUAGUGGAGCGGUGGAAUGCGUAGAUAUUAGGAAGAACACCAGUGGCGAAGGCGAUUUGCUGGACUGUAACUGACACUGAGGCACGAAAGCGUGGGGAGCAAACAGGAUUAGAUACCCCUGUAGUC
rnacentral:rRNA from 1 species